AAGUAUUUGAAUUUGAUUUUGUUUUCAUUAGAAAAGUUGCAUGGAUCAUGGUGCUUAAAUGAAUUUUUUCAUCAACCCAUUUUAACUUUUUAUUUCUGACUAUAUGUGACAUUUCUUAAAAUGUUUGUGUUUCUCAUGACAGAAAGAUAUUUUACUUGAAUUUAUUUACUUUUAUCUUAUAUGCAUUAGUUGUUGUUGUUGACAUCUCAGUAAUUAGGCCUCUGAUGGAUUAUUGUCUCCUUAUUUUCAUAUUUAAAUUUAAUUUUACAUUUUAAAGGCAUUAUUUUUUUGUUCUCUAUAUUGUGUUCAAAGAUUUCAAUCAGCAUUUAUUCAAACACUCCAAUCUCUAUAAAAUGAUUUAACAAAUUGUUAUUAAUGUAUAUUAUAUCAAUGUGCUUUUCUGUAGGACUUCAAAGGUCUCUCAAAUCAAAACACAAGUUGCCAUUUUUUUCAGAUUGGGAUUAGUAUGCACUCAUUGCACAACUACUGAAUGAGUGGAAAAAAGUUUUUAAAACAUUUCGGUAGACAAAUGUGUUUUUUCCAAUUUAUGCAUAAAUAAAAAAAAUAAAAAAUUUCAAAGCAAAGCAGAUUUUAAGUAAGGUUUAUAUAUAUUUACUAACAGUACAUUAUGAUUUAACAUACUUUUGGCUGUUAACAAUUUCGAAUAUUCAGUAGCACUAAAUUUUUUUAUUAGUUUAAUCAUAUUUUCAGAUUAUUUUAGAAUUGUUUUUUUGCAAUAUUUAAUGAUAUUCUUUACUGUGGCCUUAUUGGUUCCUUUUUAUGUUAUUGUGCUAUUUUUAUUAUUUGUUAUCUAUAAUUUUUCUAUAGUUUCUAGUCACUGGCAUUCAAUUUUGCACUCAUUUCAUCCGUCCAGUGUAUUUUAGAUAAAUAUGUUUAAUAGUAUUGUUUUGCUAACAAAAACUUGUGACACCAAUCUUCACUAAUUGAGCAGAGCUUGUAACCCUUUUAGAGCACCAGAGUUAUGACCCAUAUUGUUUUGAGUUGAUCAAGUGGUUGUUUGACUCUUUUCUUCACUUUAUAAUUUCAAUUGAUCAAGAUUAAGUUAAUAAAGAGUAUUAGGAAGCACUAUCUGUCAGAUUACUGCUCUGUAGUGUCAAAUUUGCCAUUUGUAAGCUAUUACCAACUCUUUCAAAGAAAACUAAUCUGUAUUAUCACUUGGUAAAUUGCAUUUAAUUUCAGUUCUCAUAAUUUAUUUAAAUGAUAUGAACCUCCAAAAAAUGAACAACUAACUUGUUUUGUAGUUCAAAAAAUUAUGACUCCAGCUCCUCAAUUUUUUUACAGAAGAAACAGGCAAUUCAUUAUCACUGAAUUAGUAUAUAUUUGUUUAGGGGCCAGCUGAAAGACGCCUCCGGACGCGGGAAUUUCUCUCUACAUUGAAGACCUAUUGGUGACCUUCUGCUAUUGUGUUUUUUUCUAUGGUCGGGUUGUUGUCUCUUUGACACAUUCCCCAUUUCCAUUCUCAAUUUUAAUUUUAAUGAAAAGGUCUGACCUGGUUAUUUUUUUGUCUUUAAACAUAUAGAUCUGUACAUUGAUGUUACUCAAUUUUAAAUUAUUGGAAGAUUUGUAUUUUUACAGGAAAUAUUUAUUUACUAUUUUGGGACCAACCAUCUUAUUCCUUUAUGCAUCUUAAUU
rnacentral:lncRNA from 1 species